rnacentral:rRNA from 1 species
AGAGUUUGAUUAUGGCUCAGGAUGAACGCUAGCGAUAGGCCUAACACAUGCAAGUCGAGGGGCAGCACAUGAAGUAGCAAUACGGAUGGUGGCGACCGGCGCACGGGUGAGUAACGCGUAUGCAACCUGCCUACAACAGGGGAAUAACCCGUUGAAAGACGGACUAAUACCCCAUAACACAGGGAUCCCGCAUGGGAAUAUUUGUUAAAGAUUUAUCGGUUGUAGAUGGGCAUGCGUUCCAUUAGCUGGUUGGUGAGGUAACGGCUCACCAAGGCAACGAUGGAUAGGGGAACUGAGAGGUUUAUCCCCCACACUGGUACUGAGACACGGACCAGACUCCUACGGGAGGCAGCAGUGAGGAAUAUUGGUCAAUGGACGCAAGUCUGAACCAGCCACGUCGCGUGAAGGAAGACGGCCCUACGGGUUGUAAACUUCUUUUGUAAGGGAAUAAAGUGUAGUACGUGUACUAUUUUGCAUGUACCUUACGAAUAAGGAUCGGCUAACUCCGUGCCAGCAGCCGCGGUAAUACGGAGGAUCCGAGCGUUAUCCGGAUUUAUUGGGUUUAAAGGGUGCGCAGGCGGGAGAUUAAGUCGGCGGUGAAAUUUUGCAGCUCAACUGUAAAAGUGCCUUCGAAACUGGUUUUCUUGAGUGUGGAUGAAGUAGGCGGAAUUUGUGGUGUAGCGGUGAAAUGCAUAGAUAUCACGAGGAACUCCGAUUGCGCAGGCAGCUUACUAAACCAUAACUGACGCUCAGGCACGAAGGCGUGGGGAUCAAACAGGAUUAGAUACCCUGGUAGUC